rnacentral:rRNA from 1 species
UGACGGAGCAACGCCGCGUGAGUGAUGAAGGCUUUCGGGUCGUAAAACUCUGUUGUUAGGGAAGAACAAGUACGAGAGUAACUGCUGGUACCUUGACGGUACCUAACCAGAAAGCCACGGCUAACUACGUGCCAGCAGCCGCGGUAAUACGUAGGUGGCAAGCGUUAUCCGGAAUUAUUGGGCGUAAAGCGCGCGCAGGCGGUUUCUUAAGUCUGAUGUGAAAGCCCACGGCUCAACCGUGGAGGGUCAUUGGAAACUGGGGAACUUGAGUGCAGAAGAGAAAAGCGGAAUUCCACGUGUAGCGGUGAAAUGCGUAGAGAUGUGGAGGAACACCAGUGGCGAAGGCGGCUUUUUGGUCUGUAACUGACGCUGAGGCGCGAAAGCGUGGGGAGCAAACAGGAUUAGAUACCCUGGUAGUCCACGCCGUAAACGAUGAGUGCUAAGUGUUAGAGGGUUUCCGCCCUUUAGUGCUGCAGCUAACGCAUUAAGCACUCCGCCUGGGGAGUACGGUCGCAAGACUGAAACUC